CGCCGCCGCCUCGUCCGCGCGCUCACCUCCGAUGUGGAUGAGUUCUACAGCUUGUGUGACCCAGCUCGACCGAAUCGGAUCCUAGGCUUGGAGCUGAUGUCAUCAUACAUACUUCGCCAGCGUGGAAUGAACAUUAUAAGGCAAUUAUAAGGUGCUGGGCACACAAACAGGGAGGGUUCGUGGCCUGUAGGAGUUAUGCUGUGCGAGGCAAACUGAUGAUGAGGGCAGUGCCUCCAAUCCAUGCCAGACCAUCCAGCAUUUCCUCAACACUCAAGCUUUCAAGAUGCAAACAGGAAGAAACAAACUGUUGCUUGCUAUCAAAGAAAGCAAGCUCCACAGAUAUAAGCCAAGUAAGACACCUACUUCUGAUUUUGUAAUGGGCAAAACGUUCUUUGCCACUUCAUUAUUGAUUAUUAGUCUAGUACUUGAUUACUAUGUGAACCAACUUUUUGUCACAGUAAUUAAGUGCCCUAUUAGUUGACGUAAUAGCCUGCAGCUUGCCUGCUCACUUCCGAAUUGAUAAGGCCACUGUUUACCCAUGCUCUAGUUAAGAAAUUUGAUCAUUUUGUUUCUAUGUAGAAAUUCCCAAAAGAAUCUGCUGAAUCCCUGGCUUUUUGAGGACUAUAUCUGCAUUUGCUUGAUCUUCUGUCCCUUGUAGCUUUGUAGAUUCAAAGCUUGUUUAUUGUGCUCUUCGGAGUAUUUUGUUCACUGUUUUUACUGCUACUGUUGAUUCUUCCAUACCAUCCUUAAACUAAAUAGAAAUAAACCUUGCUGCAGUUUUCAUAAGAUGUUAAGCAAGUCUCCAUUAAAGCUAAGGUUGAAAUCAUUUCUAUGCAAAUUCAAUAUGUACAUGCUAAACACAUCUCGCUGGCCCUAGCUCAAAUAGUGCAUGCUUGUUCUUUUGAACCCUCGUUCUUUUGUCGUAUAUCGUAAAAUAUCAGAAAUGAUAGAUUAUGUGAUUAGUUGCAGGAAGGUAUGCUUCUGGACUUUUGGAUCGAAACUAUCAGAUGAUCCAGACAUCCAGUAAGUAGUAUUCACCAACAUGGCUCAAAGUGAAAAGUCAAGGUUUAGUUCUUGUAGAACGCCAUUGGGUUCAGCUUAUGUAUUAGUUCAGAUAAGUAGUGUUAGGAACCGCUGGAAAAUAAGGUAGCAGAAUAGAGGAGGCACUGUGAUGUAUGUAUGAGUACAGAUGUAUGCACAUAUGUAUGUGUGAUCAGAGAAUGAACUAUAUAUGAUGUAUACGUGGCCUAUUUUUGGUAAUUUC